GUUCAUUUAAUCUUAUUGUUCAGCAACGAUUUUAAAAAGCACUUUGUAUGAUGGUUAAUAGUGAGUGUCAACUUGAUUGGAUUGAAGGAUGCAAAGUAUUGUUCCUGGGUGUGUCUGUGAGGGUGUUGCCAAAGGAAAUUAAUAGUUGAGUCUGCACUGGGAGAGGCUGACCCACCCUUAAUCUGGGUGGGCACCAUCUAAUCAGUUGCCAACUCAACUAGGAUAAAAGCAGGCAGAGGAAUGUGGAAGGACUUGACGGGUUAAGUCUUCCAUCCUUCAUCUUUCUCCCAUGCCAGAUGCUUCUUGCCCUCAAACAUCAGGCUCCAAGUUCUUCAGCUUUUGGACUCUUGGGCUUACAGCAGUGGUUUGCCAGGAGCUCUCGGACCUUUGACCGCAAAUGGAAGGCUGCACUGUCGGCUUCCCUACUUUUGAGGUUUUGGGACUCCGACUAUCUUCGUUGCUCCUCAGCUUGCAGACGGCCUAAUGUGAGACUUCACCUUUCGAUUGUGAACAUUGGAAAAAAGAGAAAG
rnacentral:lncRNA from 10 species